rnacentral:rRNA from 1 species
CACUAUGCUCAGCCAUAAAAUUUGAUAGGCCCCUACGCCCCCUAUCCGCCCGGGUACUACGAGCAUCAGCUUAAAACCCAAAGGACUUGGCGGUGCUUCACAUCCGUCUAGAGGAGCCUGUUCUAGAACCGAUAACCCCCGUUGAACCUCACCCUCCCUUGUUAAUACCGCCUAUAUACCGCCGUCGUCAGCCUACCCUGUGAAGGACUAGAAGUGAGCAAGAUUGGUAAGACCCAAAACGUCAGGUCGAGGUGUAGUGUAUGGGAGGGGAAGAAAUGGGCUACAUUUCCUAAAUCAGGAAACACGAACAAUGAACUGAAACAAGCAUUUGAAGGUGGAUUUAGCAGUAAGCAAGAAAACAGAGUGUUCUGCUGAAACAUGGCAAUAAAGCACGCACAUAUCGCCCGUCACUCUCCCCGAGCUAAUACGAAUAUAAUACCUAAAAAAUUACAUCUGCAAAGGGGAGGCAAGUCGUAA